rnacentral:rRNA from 1 species
GCAAGUCGAGCGCGAAAACACUUCGGUGUGAGUAGAGCGGCGGACGGGUGAGUAACGAUUACGAAUCCAACUGGUAGUGGGGGACAACUUGGGGAAACUCAAGCUAAUACCUCAUACGCCCUAAGGGGGAAAGUGGGGGAUCUUCGGACCUCACGCUAUCGGAUGAGCCUGCGUAGGAUUAGCUUGUUGGUGAGGUAAAAGCUCACCAAGGCGACGAUCCUUAGCUGGUCUGAGAGGAUGAUC